rfam:Enterobacter cloacae S611 EDP2.NODE_1858, whole genome shotgun sequence.
AUUUAUGUGGCCAGUUGCGGUCAAGGCUGACUGUUGCCUGAAGAAGAGGUAA